AACGAACGCUGGCGGCAUGCCUAACACAUGCAAGUCGAACGAACCCUUCGGGGUUAGUGGCGCACGGGUGCGUAACGCGUGGGAAUCUGCCCUUUGCUUCGGAAUAACUCAGGGAAACUUGUGCUAAUACCGGAUGAUGUCUUCGGACCAAAGAUUUAUCGGCAAGGGAUGAGCCCGCGUAGGAUUAGGUAGUUGGUGGGGUAAAGGCCUACCAAGCCGACGAUCCUUAGCUGGUCUGAGAGGAUGAUCAGCCACACUGGGACUGAGACACGGCCCAGACUCCUACGGGAGGCGGCAGUGGGGAAUAAUGGACAAUGGGCGCAAGCCUGAUCCAGCAAGGCCGCGUGAGUGAUGAAGGCCCUCGGGUCGUAAAGCUCUUUUACCAGGGAUGAUAAUGACAGUACCUGGAGAAUAAGCGCCGGCUAACUCCGUG
rnacentral:rRNA from 1 species